UUUUUGUCUCUUUAUUUUUGCAGAGGCAGGGAGAGAACUGAAGUCUGAAUUGAGCUACAUCAAUUUUAUUGGUUUAACUCAGCACAUCCUUGUUGCACAGCUCUAGUCAUGGAGCUCUGUGAAAGUUAUACCUGACAAACAGUGAGUUAGAAAUUUAACGUGUGCAAACUUCUUCAUGGUAACAGGCCUACUUGCAUUCAGCCUAGGAAAUAGUGCUGUAGAAGCAUUGUUCAACUGAAUGUACUUAGCCCUAGGUAUGAAGGGCAAGAAAAAGCCAAGCUUCAGUCUUGAAACCCAGGCUGGGUUGGAAAUAUUGGCAGGGAAAACAAAACCCACUUGUUAUGUGAUCCUUCAGACAUCCCUAGAACCUUGGGAUAGUGUGUAUUUAACAUGUUUCUAAGUAUUUUAUGCCUUUUCUGCUCAUAUACUGGAGGUGCUAGUAGCAUUGAGUCACAGUAUCUGAGUACUUAAAAGGGAGAGAACUCUCCAGAAUGCUUUCUGGAUUUAUUUAUUUUCUUUAAAAAGCAUAGAAGUUACAAAGAACAGACACAGAUGCAAUCAGUAAACUUGUUCUGCACCAUCUGUUCCCCCUGCAUUCCCUUGUUAAGGCUGGUACAUUUGAUGCUAGCGAAACUGCAAAUUUCUGAGGCUUGAAAAUUGCAAGCAGAAGAAAAGUAGUUUCUUCUAAGGAAGGGGGUUACUGUUAUUAGUUAACAAGUGCUUGCCUGUUUAGGUUGGUCCCAUCUUUACAAUACAAUUCCCUUUAGACAUAAGAAAAAGCUUUUCACUGUGAGUUUGGUCAAACACUGGAGCAGGUUGCCCAGAGAGGUUGUGGAGUCUCCAUCCUUGGAGAUAUUCAAAAUACAAGUGGACACAGGCCUGGCAGGGAGGAUGGACUAGGCAAUCUAUAGAGGAGCAUUCCAGCUCUACUGCUCUGAUUCUUAAGUAUUUUCUGCUCAUUUUCCAGCCUGAAUAAUCUGCCUUUUUUUUUUUACUUUUUUCCUAGAAAAUCUCAUUUUAUCAUGACAAUGUGGGUUUGAUUCACACACCCUCAAUAUGGAAUGAUUUACUAAAUUGUUAGAUUUAAACAUACUUAAAAGUUGUCUUUGGAUUUGUAAUGCUUUCAGAAGCCAAAGUGCUGUUUUAUUUUCACAUAACCCAUAUAGCACAUUUUACUGGGUGUUUUAUCUCUCUAAUUUCCGAGAAAAGGAGAGAGCAACUCGGACUGUCACCCCUUUUGUCAGAAGCGAGUGAUCAAAGUUCAAGGUUUUGUGUUCUUCAGAGAGGCUGAUGAUGGAGGCUCAGGUAUCUCUGGAAUUCCUCUUAUUUAUAAAGAAUGUGCAAGAUCCUGUUUCCCUGAACACAAGGCAUUAAAUAGCUGAGAAUAGGGAUUUUGCUUGCAGCUCAAAGGCCUUUUAACCUAGAAAGUGUUUAGAUCAAAGAGCUCCCUUUCAGCUUUUUCUUAAGAGUGUGCUCUCAGGUAUUCUGAUGUCUGUUUUUUUCACUCGACUCCUUUGUUUCCUCCUGUUUUCUAUUUGAGGCAAUACCAGCACGUUUUUAAGUGUCUUUGCACGUUACUUUGUUUUGGACAAUAACAAGUUCCUCUGUUCCAGCAUGGAUAUGGGCGUUUAUGAGGAGGUUUAAUUGUUUGGACUCUCUUAAAAAUGCAGCAGUCAUACCCACCAGCUCAAUCCACCAGUAACUUAAAACAAUAGCUUAUCUUCUGCACAUCCUUAUCUGUGUUACAGUCCCAGUGACUUUCUGGGUUGCAUUAGUGUUGGUGUAAUAGCCUGGCUUAGAUUUGGAAAACAAAAGAAAGGAAGGUUUUGCAGUUUUACCAGUGCUGGCUCUCCCCGUGUUUUGCAGAAAGGCCACUACAAUAUAUCAACUUCUGUAUUGUAUAUGCUUGGGAAUACAAGGAAAUAAAUCAGGUAUUG
ensembl:lncRNA